UUCCCACCUCAGCAUCUUGAGGAGCUGGAACUACAGCUUCUAUAUCUGAUACUCAGGCAAUGCAUGUGCAAGAGCUCUCUACAUCUUGAUGAGGAGAACUGUCCCUACCUUAACUGACAAAAAGCAUCAUGAAUGCCUGAAGGAAGAAAUAUCCUUGAGGACAAGCAGAGACAAAGUGGAUAGGCAGGACUCCCAUUUCCAGCCCUGGAAACUCUGCUCUGUAACUCAGCCAAAGAAGAUGCCACAUUUCUAUGGUUAUUCAGCAGCCCUGUGCUGUAGGAGGUUUGUCCCACAGGCCCCUGGGCAUGAACUGCUAGCCAGCCUCCCACACUGCCAGAAUAUUUUUUGGGGGACCUCCCUCAUUCAGGAAAGGCAGCUCUCUGAUUGUUUACUAGAGCUGAGGCAAACAUAGGCUUAAGGUGCACCUAGAGCCAAAAAGGAGUCAGUGACUGGGCAGUAAAGAACCUGUAAGCAAAUCUAUCCAAUAAAACAAACAAACAAACAAACUGAACAGAGAAGACUGGAACGAAUAACUAAUCCUUCAAAGCAAAGACAUAGAUGUGCAUCCACAAGAAACAACAGCACACAGAGAACCAUGGACUGAUUCCAGGCCUAGGCCCUUGGAUAGCAUUUCUGGACCUACUCUGAAGCAGAAAAGAGCCCACAGGCCUGGCAGCAUUCACCACAAGCUGACUGAAGAGAUGUUGGUCUUUAAGUGAACAUUGUUAGUGGCCUGGUAGAACUCCCCAUGGGCCACUGGUGGUCGUGGCCACAGGGAGAGGCUUCUCUGGCUGUGAAAAAGGG
rnacentral:lncRNA from 1 species